rnacentral:rRNA from 1 species
AUUGAACGCUGGCGGAAUGCUUUACACAUGCAAGUCGAACGGCAGCACGGACUUCGGUCUGGUGGCAAGUGGCGAACGGGUGAGUAAUGUAUCGGAACGUGCCCAGUCGUGGGGGAUAACGUAGCGAAAGUUACGCUAAUACCGCAUACGAUCUACGGAUGAAAGCGGGGGACCGUAAGGCCUCGCGCGAUUGGAGCGGCCGAUGUCAGAUUAGGUAGUUGGUGAGGUAAAGGCUCACCAAGCCGAAGAUCUGUAGCUGGUCUGAGAGGACGACCAGCCAGACUGGGACUGAGACACGGCCCAGACUCCUACGGGAGGCAGCAGUGGGGAAUUUUGGACAAUGGGCGCAAGCCUGAUCCAGCCAUUCCGCGUGCAGGACGAAGGCCUUCGGGUUGUAAACUGCUUUUGUACGGAACGAAAAGGCUCUGGUUAAUACCUGGGGCUCAUGACGGUACCGUAAGAAUAAGCACCGGCUAACUACGUGCCAGCCGCCGCAGUAA